rnacentral:lncRNA from 1 species
CUCCGAGCAUGCGUACGUGAGCCCGCCCGCCCCAAAGCAGAGGGCCGACCGCCGCGCCGGCGAGCGGGACGUNCGUGGAGGAGGAGCGAUCGAUGGCGGCGGCUUCGAAGGUGGCGACAACAGGCGACGGGCCGAAGACGCUCAGGAUCUUCCAGGCUGCCAACCNGGAAUUCGAGGAGGAGGAGGAGGAGGCUGGGCUGUCGUGCCGGAAAAGAUUCGGGCAGGGCAGCGCCUAAUGUCUGAGGCGCCCGCGCAGAUGCGCCUCGCGUCCCGUCCCGUCUGGCGCGGUAGCCGAGGGCGUAUGGUGGAGCGGGGAGGACGCCGGCGGGGAGAGGGGGAACCGAGCGACCGCUCCGACCUCCCCUCCCUCUGGCCCGAAGGCAGGAGCCGCGGUGGACUGGCCAGGUGGUGGCCCUGUAGAGAUCAUGCUGGGAGCCCAGCAGAAGAUGCAUUCCUGCAACUUUCACAGCCCACCUCCUCUGUGGCGCUUUCCAAUCCCCAAUGCCCAGGGC